rnacentral:sRNA from 1 species
UAAAUAAUAAAGACAGUAUAUGAAUAUAAAUGAAUUUAUGUUACUGAAUUAAAACUUUAUAUGAGUUUUCCAGUCGUAUGUUGAAUAAGACGAAUGACCAAACGCUAAGUUAAUAAUAAGAAAUAAGAUUACACUGUAGAUUGAGAAAUUUAAAGUAAAUAAAAAAUACAUUAUACAAUAAAUAUAAAACUGAAAAAUAAAUUUUAUGGCAAUUUCGUGUCGCGAGGACUUAUCAAGUGACAACCUUGUUUAAAUGUUUUUAAAUUAGGAAAAAUGACUAUAAGUACUAUUAAAGGAGCGAAU